CCUACGGGAGGCAGCAGUGGGGAAUCUUGCGCAAUGGGCGAAAGCCUGACGCAGCCAUGCCGCGUGAAUGAUGAAGGUCUUAGGAUUGUAAAAUUCUUUCAGUAGGGACGAUAAUGACGGUACCUACAGAAGAAGCCCCGGCUAACUUCGUGCCAGCAGCCGCGGUAAUACGAAGGGGGCUAGCGUUGCUCGGAAUUACUGGGCGUAAAGGGAGCGUAGGCGGACAUUUAAGUCAGGGGUGAAAUCCCAGAGCUCAACUCUGGAACUGCCUUUGAUACUGGGUGUCUUGAGUGUGAUAGAGGUAUGUGGAACUCCGAGUGUAGAGGUGAAAUUCGUAGAUAUUCGGAAGAACACCAGUGGCGAAGGCGACAUACUGGAUCAUUACUGACGCUGAGGCUCGAAAGCGUGGGGAGCAAACAGGAUUAGAUACCCUGGUAGUCCACGCCGUAAACGAUGAUGUCUAGUUGUCGGUUGUUACGUACUACGUGACGCGAGCUACGUACAUAAGUACGAUACCGCCGUCGGGAGGUACGGUACGACGAGAAGUUAAACGUAACGUAAGUAAGUUAGUUAGUACGUUGAGAGAGCGACGACGACGACGACGGAGGAGG
rnacentral:rRNA from 1 species